rnacentral:misc_RNA from 1 species
GUGGGCCAUGAUGUGGACCAUUUUACAUCACCUGAAGGGAUACCCGGAGUGCCUGAAACUAACUUCAACAAUCGUCCUAACUCCUUCAAAAUACUCUCUCCAGCUCGCACUUGUGUGGCUUACUGUAGAGUUGAAGAAAUGGAAGGAAAUCACAAUAGUGGCGAUCUUGGGGCUGUAAAUGAGACAUUGACAGGUGCCGUGGCAAAGUCAGGGGAUUUUAAAGGUGUCAAUGAGACAUUACCAGCAGAUGCUGUGGCGAAGCAGGACGAUUUUGAGGCACGGCCUUCUUUGGUUGCCAAUGAUGUUGGUCCAACCAAGAAAGUAGAAGCGGAAGAGGUUGAGGAAGGGACAUCAGAUGACUAAGGAAAGUGACAAUCGAACUCCUGGGCUAAUUUUUACACGCG